AAGUGAAAUGCUGAAAUGAAAAAAAAAGCCAAGUAAGGUGUUAGUUCAUCUAGACAGCAGGACGGUGGCCAUGGAAGUCGGAAUCCGCUAAGGAGUGUGACAACUCACCUGCCGAAUGAACUAGCCCUGAAAAUGGAUGGGCUUAAGCGUGUUACCCAUACUUUCCCGUUAUUGUAAAAGCGAAGCAAUAACG
rnacentral:ncRNA from 1 species